GGGGGUGAAGAUCCUCUGAGGAGGGUGGCGUCGCGGAAAACGGCGGAUAAGACCUUUCCGAGUAGGGGGCGGUGCCCGGGGAAGCAGGGGCUGAGACCCCCUCCUGAGAUGGUUGAGGUCCAGGAAAUCAGGUGUGGAGGUCCCUCCAAGGAGAACCGGGUCGCAAAGGACAGGCGAGGCCUGGGACCUGAGGUGUCAGAGUCCAGGCUGGUCUCGAACAGUCAUUACAUGAAGCCACUAAUGACCCAUGUUGGUGCUGCUGAGUUGUAUAAGGGUCCUGAGGCAGGGCCUUGGCGGUCAGGCCUUGAGUGAGUUGCCACCAGUCCUAAGAGGGUGAGGGUCCCGAUGUCCUGGUGUACAGCUUGGACUUUGGUGGGCAUCUGCGGAUGAUAAAGCGAGUGCAGAACCUGCUUGGCCACUAUCUUAUCCAUGGCUUCCGGGUACGGCCAGAGCCUAAUGGAGACCUUGACUUGGAGGCCAUGGUGGCUGUG
rnacentral:lncRNA from 1 species